CAGCAGCCGCGGGAAUACGGAGGGUGCAAGCGUUAAUCGGAAUUACUGGGCGUAAAGCGCACGCAGGCGGUUUGUUAAGUCAGAUGUGAAAUCCCCGAGCUUAACUUGGGAACUGCAUUUGAAACUGGCAAGCUAGAGUCUUGUAGAGGGGGGUAGAAUUCCAGGUGUAGCGGUGAAAUGCGUAGAGAUCUGGAGGAAUACCGGUGGCGAAGGCGGCCCCCUGGACAAAGACUGACGCUCAGGUGCGAAAGCGUGGGGAGCAAACAGGAUUAGAUACCCGGGUAGUCCCUGUCUCUUAUAC
rnacentral:rRNA from 1 species